CCUACGGGAGGCUGCAGUAGGGAAUCUUUCACAAUGGGCGAAAGCCUGAUGGAGCAACGCCGCGUGCAGGAUGAAGGCCUUCGGGUUGUAAACUGCUUUUAUAAGCGAGAAAUAUGAUGGUAACUUAUGAAUAAGGAUCGGCUAACUACGUGCCAGCAGCCGCGGUCAUACGUAGGAUCCGAGCAUUAUCCGGAGUGACUGGGUGUAAAGAGUUGCGUAGGUGGCAUAAAAAGUAGCUAGUCAAAUCUGGUGGCUCAACCAUUCAGACUAUUAGCUAAACUGUUAAGCUCGAGAGCGUUAGGGGUAACUGGAAUUUCUAGUGUAGGAGUGAAAUCCGUAGAUAUUAGAAGGAACACCAAUAGCGUAGGCAGGUUACUGGGACGGUUCUGACACUAAGGCACGAAAGCGUAGGGAGCAAACGGGAUUAGAUACCCGUGUAGUC
rnacentral:rRNA from 1 species